rnacentral:pre_miRNA from 1 species
AGUGGAAUAGCUAGGUCAAAUGGUGGUUCCAUUCUCAAUUUUCUGAGGAUUCUCCAUACUGCUUUCCAUAGUGGUUGUACCAAUUUGUAGUUCCACCAGCAAU